UUUCUUUUCUGCCUGAAGGAGAGAGCGACUAACGAGCUGAUAUUUAUUGUCUUUGGCCCAUUCAAAGCCCACCUUUGGGAAUAUUCGAACUCUUUCUCCUCCAACCAGGUGGAGAGCACAGACAGCAAAGGCAUGCCCUGAGCUUCCCUUUCCUCUUUGGUUUAGCUCCCACGGCCAAAAGAAGCCAUGGGAUCCAAGGAGCCAAGUUUCCUGGGCUUGAAUCUAUUUUCAAAUUCCAUAGAUAACGUUGAGCUCUCACAACAGAGAGCAGUUCAGUUGUUCUUUUGUACCCUGGGUAACUGCAUAGUCACUCAGGCACCAGGAUUUCAUCAUUCCCUGCCUUCCUUUUUUCCAAAAUAAUACUGUAGCCACAUUUCAGCAAGGCAGAGUUGUGCUGGUGAGUCCCAUGGCCAGCACUGCUGUGGGGAUGCUCAAGGCCACAAGCAUUUGGAGAUGCUUUAGAAGCGCUCAUGAAACUCAGCACACAGUUGGAUUUAUGACUAAGGUCUAUUGCAGUGAAAGGGUAUAUGACAGGAUCAUCAAGGGAAAAAGACACAAGUGGAUUCUGGAGAAAUCUAUGCACGGGCUUCCUUCUACUCUCUCCUUCCCAUGAGGAGACAUACCAAAUGUGUUUUUUUCAGCAGCAAAAAAUGUAUAAGGAUGUGUAUAACCUUUCUGCUCAGGAGAGCCUAUUAGAGAACCAGAGUUCAAGACUCUUUUGGGGGCUGAUUACAUAGGCAGCUUCUGCUUAGUGGGGACCAAAGUUCCAGACUCCUAGAAGGAAAGCAGAUGUUAACCAUAAAUCACGCUGUUUGGACAGUCUAGGUAGAGUAAGCCUCCCUUAUCAGUUAGGGAAUGGUUUGAAUGCCAAAUUUGCACGGGCCAGCCUUGCGAGUAGGCCCUUCUAAAGCUGACGGCUUCACACCUGCUAUGUUAACUCUCGUCUUCACACAGUCACUGAAUCAGGACGUGGGUGGGCCCAGAUCACGACUGAGAGGCUGUAUUUGCCUCAACUUCCCCUACCCUUCUUGGUUAUACAGCUGUGCUCUACGGAGCAUAGCUCAGGACAGCACAAUAGGCUCAGCUAAACAUUUUCAGCCUCUUUUCAUGACAAGGCAGUCCCACUACAGCUGUUGAUUUCAAGCAGAGAGACCAGCUUAGGUCCCUGGUGGUGUGCAGAGUGGAGAGGGUUUUAUUCCAACUCUUAUCAGCCUCCAACAGACUUCAGACCUAGAGCCCAGAGGGUCUGCAGCGUCAGCCUCACUUACAGCUUUCUGUUCUAGUUUACUUUUUCCUCCUCAAAGAUAUGGCUAUGUAUUUUAGACGUUCUUUUAAAAAAAAAUGUCAUCUUUCAUUGCUUUGUUUGGAGCUAAGCAUGGUGGGAAGGGAGAAGCUUAGACUGUGAACUUAUAAUGUCAUCUUAGCCAGAAGGUGCUCUCUUACAUUUUUAUACAUCAUUGCAGCUUUUUCUACUAAGAUUCGGGCCUGAGCCCAUGGGGGCUGAGCUGGCCUGGAGGGCAAUGUUAGUGACAGAUAUUGUGCUUUGCUCAAAGUUGCCUUUCACCUAUGUUUCUGGCCUGUUGUCCUGUGUCAGUUGACCCUCUCUUCCGGUAGGAUGAAUCAUUCCCCAUGAGGCUUGUUAGUGGGCCCGUCCGCUGUAGCCGUUUCUGAGGGGGAACCUAGCUUAGGUGCUCAAGCCGAGAUUUCCCCACUACUCAUGGAUUUUGGUCGAACAUAUGACUCAAAAUGAAACAGCAAAAUCAGAGUUUGGGCAGUCUACCAUUUCCCAAAGUCAUUCUAUCCACUGUAGGGAAUGACAAAUAGCUAACCUACAAGUAAGUCAACUACUAAUUCAUUUUUCCUAUACUAACCUAAAUGGUCCUCGUUUAAAUUAUUAACAACAUAUAUUUUGAUUACUCAGCAUCUGUUUUUCCAAUUUCUUUUUGAGAAGUUCUCUCUUUUCUAUCACGUGAGCUGCACUGGCAACACAACAAACCUAGGAGUGUGCACUUUUAGUACAGAAGUUAAAGGAGGUUUUAUUGACUCUUCCUUUUUUUUUUUUUUUUUGCUAGAUCCUGCCUGUUACCAGUCAGGCCCACCAAAGGGUUGGUAAAGGGAUGUCAGCUCAGUCAAUGAGUUGUUCUUUCCUAGGAUGCUUGACUCUUGGGUGGGUGGAGGCGAGGACUGAAGAAAAUGAUUGCUUAUUCCCACAGCAGUGCUGAGUCAACAGCUAAGCAGUUCUCGCCACGGUGAGCUUCUAUACUUGUCUACAUUAGUCUUAAGGUCUGGCGUUGACAACUGAGCAGGCCAUUUCAGGUAAGAUGUGACUGGUGUAUGCUUAGUGAUUUCUGCCGUCGGUGCUUCCAUGAUCCAUACACUACAUUUCCUUAACGUAAGAUAAUAUUUACCCUUUCCCUCUAGCUGUUUAAACUGACUAUAUUGCUUCAUAUUAUUGCUAUGAAUCCAAAUCGCUCUUUUUCUUGUUGUUAAGAAAGACGGCUAAGCAUGGUGUAUGGGAGCAGCUGAUUUUUGAAACCCCAAUUCAGGUUUAGAGUAUUUGAAAAUUAUUAAUGUAAUAUAUAUUUUUACUUUUAGACACUUGCUUUUGUGGGAAUUUAGGUGGCAGUGGAACUUAGGACUACUUAGAAAAAAAAAGAAAGAAAAAAACAUUUCAUCCUGACAAGAUGGGUUUGAACUUUGAUUCCGUCACCUGUCAUCUUGGCCAACUCUGUGUCAUCUGAAAUUUUGCCAAAGUUUGCCGAUCGUAGGCAUCAAAUUGAGCUGAAGUUGCUAGCAUGCUGCGCGUGACACCCUGGAGGGGUUUUACAAUCUGGUUCUCCUCAAGUGUUUUCUUUUAAAAUGCUGAAACAUCAUUGGUGAUCUCUGGUCUUAUAGUCUGCUUGUUUUUUGUUUUUGUUUGUUCAGUAUUUUAAAGGUUUAAUUUUUUUAAAAAAAUGAGGUUUUUUUCCCCAGUUUUCUUCUUUGUGCUUUCAUCAUAGCUAUACUAGCCUGCAUGAGCACACCUCUGACUUUUUGGAUGCACAAUAGGAUAAAGUUCAAAGUAGGGUAAAGUUCAAAACUAUGAAUAUACAUUCUCAAUGCCAUUGCUCUGUGGCUAGGAUUACAAAAUACUAUUUGUUCUUUCCUCUAAAAGUGAGUAUAUUCUGUUUCCACUCCAGACUUUUGCUAAGAGUGUGCUCCAAGAGUUAGGUUUUCCAAGGACACAAGAUGAUAAUAGAAAUUAUUCCUUCUUCCCUUCUUCAAGAGGUCUGAUGUGCUUUUCUACUCUGUAACCCUUACUUAGCUAAACUGUAGAUGAAUAUGUUUUAUAUUUUCCCAAAUCAAGUGAAAUAUCAUAUGGAUAUGAGGAGUUUCCUAUGGAUAGCUCCCCUCUGGGAUGGAGUCCUCAGGAUUAUGGAUGCUGUGAAGGGAAGAGUGGGGUGACUAGGCUGACAGAGCCCUGGGCACCAGGGCAUCGAGUCUCCACCCAGAUCCCAGGGAACUGUGCAUGGCACUGAAACAGGUGCAUCUGGACCUCAGAGAACAACUUGGCCGACAUGAAGAUUAGCUAUGACUAGAGAUUAGAUGUUACCUUUUCCUGUUUUCUGGACGCCACAACCAUCCUGGAUUUCUUUCCCUCCCAGGAGACUGAGAAUACUGACCAAGAAUUUGCCUUUAGUCUGGUGGGAUGUGUGCCCGGGGUCUGAAUCAAGUUGCUGUAAAGGAAAUAAAGUGAUGUUUACUAUAUACCUGAGUUCAUGGACUGUGAUAUAUACCUAGUGAACUCGGCAUAAACAUUUUUUGAAGUGUUGACUUACUAAAAAGAGGAGAACCUACAAGCAAACUUUAUGUUUGUGCCCUGCUCCGUACCAGGCCACAUAGACUGCAUUUCAUUUACUGCACUUGCAGAGGCCUCAGUAGAGAGGCAUUACCCCCGUAUUACAGCUGAGAACCAAGCUGUAGUCAGUGUUCUCCAGAGAAACAGAAUCUAUCUAUCAUCUCUCUCUCUCUAUUGAAGAAUUGGCUCACACGCUUAUGGAGGUUGAAAAGUCCCAAGAGCUACAGUCUGCAAGCCAUCCUGGAGACCUGGGAGAGCUGAUGGUAUAGUUUCAGUCCAAGUCUGAAGGCCUGAGACCGGGAGAGCCCAUGGUGUAAGUUGGGUCUGGAAGAGGAAAAAUCCAAUGUCACAGCUCACCCGCCAGGCAGGAGGAGCUCCUUCCUACACAGCCUUUUAGUUCUUUUCAGGCCUUCGACUGAUUGAGUGAUGCCCACUCACAUUAGGGAGAGCAAUCUGCUUUACUCAAUCAACUAGCUGGUUCAAAUGUUAAUCUCAUCAGAAACACCCUCACAGACACACCCAGAAUAAUGUUGGAGCAAAUGUCUGGGCACCUGCUGGCCGGGUCCAGUUGACACAUACACGAGGUAAGAAUUAAUGAAGUAUCUAGCACAAACCUGCAUGUCAGUAAAUGGUAGAGUAAGACUAAAACCCCAAGCCUGGAGCAUUCCAAAGCUUCCUUGCAAAAUUGGUGUAUUGCCUGCCAGCUACUCGGGAAUUCCUUAGGCCACUUUAAAGUCAAUAAGCAAUUCACAAGUGCUGUUCUCUGAUCUUCUCUCCUGCCUGGGCCUCUCCAAAUAGAGAGAGACGCUGGACUCCCUCAUGCAGUUGGGAAACCUGGAUUAGCUUCUUCAGGAUGUUGCGUUUUUGCCUUCUGCUGUGAUGAUCACCUGGGUAGGUAACCUACCCCCCCCCCCCCCCCCCCCCGGUCAUGCACUGUAUCUAACCCUCAGCCCCUCCCUUUCACUCCAUGGUGACGCGCAGCAGGUACUUGGAGCCAACUUUAUUUCCAGACCCAGUGUGCGGGGUCUCCAAGGCUGGGCUGCGACACCAGAUCAGACCGCUUCAGCUCAAGUGCAGCCCACGUAGGAAAAGGAAAAUGAAACUUCGUUGUGUUCUACAGCAAAUAACGUCAAUAAAAAGUCUCUUUUGCAAGGAGGAAAAGGGGAGAGCACAGAGGAAGUAUGGCAGCCGUUUUUUCCUUUUAUUUCAAAGUGAAUGAAGUGCCACUUCCGUGACAGGCGCUUAAAUUAUGCAGCUGACGUCCUUUUCUUGAAGAGUGUGAGUUUCAAGUUCAGGUGACAGGACUAGUGGUAGAACAUCCCUCUCGCCCCACCCCUACCCCACCACACACACCUGUUCAAAGCCCAGAUGUGUGAAGUGCUGAUGCAUUAAUAAUACGAGCCCUCAGUGUGACCGGGGGAAGGCAUGGCACACAGUUUUGAGUGUCCUGUUUGAAGACAGAAGAAAAGGAAACGAGGGCUUUUUGACAAGGCAGAGUGUAUAUAAUUAAGUGAGAAAACCUCCUUCUGAGAGUUGGUUUUGAACGUUUUAGAUUGGGUGGGCAAAGUUGCCUCAUUUGGGGGACCAAUUUCUUCUUCUCUUUGCCCAGGGUCUAGGGCUUCCCCCACACUCGCCCUUUCAGACUCAAGGAAUUAACCUUUCCUGCCACACAAAGUGAUUCACUUGAAUCCCUCUCCCCAUAGUGACAGAGAUUUUUAAAAAAUCACACUAGAUGCUGGUGUCGUUGCUGCUGCUGUUGCUGGCAGCCCUAACCCUUCACACACACAGAAGUUUCUAUGCUUGCGUGUGAGCCCCUGGCCUCCCGGCGCUACUCUGGAAAGAAGAGAAAUUUGUAGCCUCCUGAUCUGCAGACUGGAAAAUCAAAUAAGGGCAUGGACAAAAGGAAUCAGGAAUCAGAGAGGAAUCCUGUCAUGACACAGCUUGCCAUGAGAUGGAGCAUUUGGCAAGACUCCCAGAACACUCACCCCAUCACCCUGAGAAGAACAGUGAGAGUCUGGGCUGCAGAUCUUUGAUUGAAUUUAAAGGUCAACGACGUACUGUCCUGUUGCAGCUGAGGACCCAGCUCUGAAGUCACUCCUGAAUUUUCUUAUUUUUAAAACCUGCUUUUUGUAAAACCAUCCAUUGGCUCGAAUCAGAAAUUUAAUUUAUUCAGAGAUAAGGCAAAGGAAGAUCUUAACUUCUCUGAUAUGAGGGAUCUGAAGAAAUUAGGAGUGAGCAAGAUAAAUAUCAGAGUGUCAGCACUAUACACAUUUCCUAAUGGAUAAGAUCUUUGCUUUUGUUAUUUUAAUUUUCUCUGCAUGGAACCAAAUAGCCUACGUGCCUUCAAUAGUGAUGAUGCAAAGUUGCUAAACUUCUAGAUCUCAUUAGAAAGUCCUAAAGUAAUCU
ensembl:lncRNA